ensembl:miRNA
UCUAUUAGGUUGGUGCAAAAGUAAUUGCGGUUUUUGCCAUUACCUUCAAUUGCAAAAACUGCAAUUACUUUUGCACCAAACUAAUA